CCUACGGGAGGCAGCAGUGAGGAAUAUUGGUCAAUGGACGAGAGUCUGAACCAGCCAAGUAGCGUGAAGGAUGACUGCCCUAUGGGUUGUAAACUUCUUUUAUGUGGGAAUAAAAUGUUCCACGUGUGGGAUUUUGUAUGUACCAUAUGAAUAAGGAUCGGCUAACUCCGUGCCAGCAGCCGCGGUAAUACGGAGGGUCCGAGCGUUAUCCGGAUUUAUUGGGUUUAAAGGGAGCGUAGGUGGAUUGUUAAGUCAGUUGUGAAAGUUUGCGGCUCAACCGUAAAAUUGCAGUUGAAACUGGCAGGCUUGAGUGCAGUAGAGGUGGGCGGAAUUCGUGGUGUAGCGGUGAAAUGCUUAGAUAUCACGAAGAACUCCGAUUGCGAAGGCAGCUCACUGGACUGCAACUGACACUGAGGCUCGAAAGUGUGGGUAUCAAACAGGAUUAGAUACCCUAGUAGUC
rnacentral:rRNA from 1 species